GGGCUGGGGCUCAGUGGUAGAGCACUCACCUAGCAUGUGUGAGGCCCUGGGUUCAAUCCUCAGUACCACA
rnacentral:tRNA from 1 species